rnacentral:rRNA from 1 species
GUGCCAGCGGCCGCGGUAAUACGGAGGGUGCAAGCGUUGUCCGGAAUCAUUGGGUGUAAAGGGUGCGUAGGCGGAGCUUUAAGUCUGCGGUGAAAUCUUGCCGCUUAACGGUAAAAGUGCCGUGGAAACUAGAGCUCUUGAGUGUAGCAGAGGCCGGUGGAAUUCGUGGUGUAGCGGUGAAAUGCAUAGAUAUCACGAAGAACACCAGUGGCGAAAGCGGCCGGCUGGGCUACGACUGACGCUGAGGCACGAGAGCGUGGGGAGCGAACAGGAUUAGAUACCCCUGUAGUCC